UAUGUGAUCGUCUCUCGCAUAUCAAUAAGCGGAGGAAAAGAAACUAACAAGGAUUCCCCUAGUAACGGCGAGUGAAGCGGGAAGAGCUCAAAUUUGAAAUCUUAAAGGGUUUCCCUUUACGAAUUGUAGUUUAAAGAAGUGUUUUCUGUUGAGGUUUUGGUAAAAGUUCUUUGGAAUAGGACAUCAUAGAGGGUGAGAAUCCCGUAUUUGACCUUUACUUUCAACUUUGUGAUACACUUUCAAAGAGUCGGAUUGUUUGGGAAUGCAGUCCAAAAUGGGUGGUAAAUUUCAUCUAAAGCUAAAUAUUGGCGAGAGACCGAUAGCGAACAAGUACCGUGAGGGAAAGAUGAAAAGAACUUUGAAAAGAGAGUUAAACAGUACGUGAAAUUGUCAAAAGGGAAGCGUUUGACACCAGUGUUGUUUUUCUGAAAAUCAAUUAAAGAACUGUUUAUGCUAAGCUUGUUUAGACUUUAUCAGCUAUCUGCUUAGUUUUGAGCUUUUCUUUAAUGCACUUUUCAGUUAACAAGUCAACAUCAAUUUCUUUUGCUGUAAAAAAGCUUGAGGAAGGUGGCUUGAGAUUCGUCUUAAGUGUCUAUAGCCUCUUGCCUAUGCAGUCGGAGAGAUUGAGGUCUGCAGCGUAGAUCCUUCGGGGCUAAAUGCAUUUGUGCUAAGUUAUAGCAUUUUAUAGACAACUUGUUGACUAUGAUUUGUCUUGUAGCUUACUCGCUUAUGUUAUUUUACCUACGCUUAGGAUGUUGACGCGCGUGUGUGCGUG
rnacentral:rRNA from 1 species